GAUUAACGCUGGCGGUGUGCCUAAUACAUGCAAGUCGAACGGAUUCUUAUUUAAAGAUUUCAUUUGCUUGUUGUUGGAUCCUCGGGAUCUCGGCGCGAGCAAGUGAAAGAUUUCAAGAAUUAGUGGCGGACGGGUGAGUAACACGUUGGUACCUGCCCUAUAGUGGGGGAUAACUGCCCGAAAGGGUAGCUAAUACCGCAUGUGAUCUUCGGAUCAAAGCCUUCGGGCGCUAUAGGAGGGGCCUGCGUCCCAUUAGCUAGUUGGUAGGGUAAAAGCCUACCAAGGCGACGAUGGGUAGCUGGAUCGAGAGGUUGAACAGCCACACUGGGACUGAGAUACGGCCCAGACUCCUACGGGAGGCAGCAGUAAGGAAUCUUCCACAAUGGACGAAAGUCUGAUGGAGCAACACCGCGUGCAGGAUGAAGGUUUUCGGAUCGUAAACUGCUUUUAUAGAGGAAGAUUAUGACGGUACUCUAUGAAUAAGGACCGGCUAACUACGUGCCAGCAGCCGCGGUAAAAC
rnacentral:rRNA from 1 species